GCUAUUUUGUGUACACGCAAAAGCAGUCAACGGACAAAUAUUGGUCUUUUUGUAUGAAAUUGUGCAUUAGAAAAGGGGAAUUAAGGAAUUACAAUAUGAGCCGAAUGAUAAACGAAGAAGCUCAGUGUUGUCAAACAUUUCCAAGACGAUUAAUUGUUGGUAUGUCUAUCGUCUAGUGGCAAAUUCUUUAUGCAUAUUAAGGACGAAACAAAUUUGAAAUUUAACAGUUGCUCCAAGUUGAAGAGCAUAUGAUAUGUCCUUAUUGUGAAUAUUUAAAUGGUUGCAAUAAUAAAAUGGGAUAUUUAGAAGACAUUUAUAUGAUCAGAAGCAUGUGAUAUGUCGGCUCUGAAGAUAAACAUGUACGAGGAUACCAUUAGCAAUAAACAUAUCUUCUGCUUUAUGAUACAGUUUUCCCCUAAACAAAAAUGUGUAAUAGUUCAGUGAAAAUGGGCGUCACACUAUAUGUAAGAUUUUUUUUUUUUUUUUAAUUUUGUCAGAAGAUUAACAAAUAAUUUCAAGCCCGAUCUAACUUAUAAAUAAUUCAAUUGCCGAG
rnacentral:lncRNA from 1 species